AGCUGCGCAGUGAAUGCAUAGCGAACUAUUCUUUCGCCUUUUACUAAAGAAUACCGUGUGUUCGUUGUAUUUAAGCAGCAUACUCAAAUUUUUUUUUAAAGGGUUUUUUUUUUUUU